rnacentral:lncRNA from 1 species
CUAUCACACAGGGAUUUUUGUUUACCUAGAAAACCUUGCGCCUGUUCUCCAAGGCAAGUGAGCCAGCUAGCCCAAGGGAUGGUGACCUUAACCCACAUUAAUUUGACAGAGCUACGAUCCCUGCUGCUAUUCCCUGGAGGAACCAGAUAGCACUGAUGACAGAUCUUUGGGGGAUGGUUGAAGGGAAGGAGGAAACAAAGAGACUUACUUUCAAGUGACAUCAGUCAAGAGGAUUGCAAAGAGUGCGCUGGGUCAACUGUACACUUACUAACUGAAAAGCAAGUGCGUAUGCUUUUCCUAUGCUCACAGAGUCAGUCUGAUGGAUAGCUUUA